CAGCCGCCGCGGGAACACCGGCGGCCCGAGUGGUGAUCGUGAUUAUUGGGUCUAAAGGGUCCGUAGCCGGUUUGGUCAGUCCUCCGGGAAAUCUGAUAGCUCAACUAUUAGGCUUUCGGGGGAUACUGCCAGACUUGGAACCGGGAGAGGUAAGAGGUACUACAGGGGUAGGAGUGAAAUCUUGUAAUCCCUGUGGGACCACCUGUGGCGAAGGCGUCUUACCAGAACGGGUUCGACGGUGAGGGACGAAAGCUGGGGGCACGAACCGGAUUAGAUACCCGGGUAGUCCCAGCCGUAAACGAUGCUCGCUAGGUGUCAGGCAUGGCGCGACCGUGUCUGGUGCCGCAGGGAAGCCGUGAAGCGAGCCACCUGGGAAGUACGGCCGCAAGGCUGAAACUUAAAGGAAUUGGCGGGGGAGCACAACAACGGGUGGAGCCCUGCGGUUUAAUUGGGACUCAACGCCGGACAACUCACCGGGGGCGACAGCAAUAUGUAGGCCAAGCUGAAGACUUUGCCUGAAUCGCUGAGAAGAGGUGCAUGG
rnacentral:rRNA from 1 species